AUGCUUGCCUUGGCAGCACAUAAACUAAAAUUGGAACUAUACCGAGAAGAUUAGCAUGGCCCCUGCACAAGGAUGUCAUGUGAAUUCAUGAAGUGUUCCACAUUUUU
ensembl:snRNA U6 U6 spliceosomal RNA